GAUGAAGAACGCAGCGAAAUGCGAUAAGUAAUGUGAAUUGCAGAAUUCAGUGAAUCAUCGAGUCUUUGAACGCACAUUGCGCCCCCUGGUAUUCCGGGGGGCAUGCCUGUCCGAGCGUCAUUGCUGCCCUCAAGCACGGCUUGUGUGUUGGGCCUCCGUCCUCCUCCCGGGGGACGGGCCCGAAAGGCAGCGGCGGCACCGCGUCCGGUCCUCGAGCGUAUGGGGCUUCGUCACCCGCUCUUGUAGGCCCGGCCGGCGCUUGCCGACACAUCAAUCUUUUUUCCAGGUUGACCUCGGAUCAGGUAGGGAUACCCGCUGAACUUAAGCAUAUCAAUAAGCGGAGGA
rnacentral:misc_RNA from 1 species